UCAAAGUAUCUUCUGCCCACUGACUUGGUUGAAUGGCCGCAGUACCCUGACUGUGCUAAGGUAGCGUGAUUCUUGUUUUCUUAAUUAGAAAUCUGUUCAAAGAAUGAUAUGUAGAAAAUCUAUUGUUUUUGUAUAAAAUGAAGUUAAAUUAUGAGUGAAAAUUCUCAUUAAUUUAUAAAAGACGAGAAGACCCCACAAAACUUAAUUUGAUUUCUUUUUUAAAAAGAGUUAAAAUUUAAAUGGGAACUUUAGAGUACAAUAAUAACUUAUGUGACCUAUUAUUUUAAUAUUUGAGAAGCUACUUUGGGGAUAACAGGGUAAAAUAUUUAGAGAGUUCUUAUCGAUAAAUGUGAUUACUACCUCGAUGUUGGAUUAUCUUUUCAA
rnacentral:rRNA from 1 species